AAACUUUCAACAAUGGAUCUCUUGGUUCUCGCAUCGAUGAAGAACGCAGCGAAAUGCGAUAAGUAAUGUGAAUUGCAGAAUUCCGUGAAUCAUCAAAUUUUUGAACGUAAAUUGCACUCCUUGGUAUUCCGAGGAGUACACAUGCUUGAGGGUCAGUU
rnacentral:rRNA from 1 species